rfam:Phycomyces blakesleeanus NRRL 1555(-) unplaced genomic scaffold PHYBLscaffold_26, whole genome shotgun sequence.
AAUGGCUCAUUAAAUGAGCUAUUAUCUACAUGUCAAAGCAUUACUACUUGGAUAGCCGUGGUAAUUAUAGAGCUGAUAUGUGCAAUAAAAGCCUCGACUUCGGAAGGGGUGCACUUAUUAGGUAAAAGCCAAUCCGGUCUUAAGGCCAGUUUCUUGGUGGUUCAUAAUAAUAAAAUGCUGAUCGGAUGGCCUUGUGCUGGGAAGGCUCAUUCGAUUUUCUGCCCUAUCAGGUUAAGAUUGUAAGAUAUAAGCUUACAUUGUCUACCACGGGUAAUGGUGAAUUAGGGUUCGAUUCCAAAG